UGGGCGUAAAGAGCUCGUAGGUGGUUUGUCGCGUUGUUCGUGAAAACUCACAGCUUAACUGUGGGCGUGCGGGCGAUACGGGCAGACUAGAGUACUGCAGGGGAGACUGGAAUUCCUGGUGUAGCGGUGGAAUGCGCAGAUAUCAGGAGGAACACCGGUGGCGAAGGCGGGUCUCUGGGCAGUAACUGACGCUGAGGAGCGAAAGCGUGGGGAGCGAACAGGAUUAGAUACCCUGGUAGUCCACGCCGUAAACGGUGGGUACUAGGUGUGGGUUCCUUCCUUGGGAUCCGUGCCGUAGCUAACGCAUUAAGUACCCCGCCUGGGGAGUACGGCCGCAAGGCUAAAACUCAAAGGAAUUGACGGGGGCCCGCACAAGCGGCGGAGCAUGUGGAUUAAUUCGAUGCAACGCGAAGAACCUUACCUGGGUUUGACAUGCACAGGACGCCGGCAGAGAUGUCGGUUCCCUUGUGGCCUGUGUGCAGGUGGUGCAUGGCUGUCGUC
rnacentral:rRNA from 1 species